rnacentral:rRNA from 1 species
AUACGGAGGAUGCAAGCGUUAUCCGGAUUUAUUGGGUUUAAAGGGUGCGUAGGCGGUUUGCUAAGCGGGAGGUGAAAUGCCGGCGCUCAACGUCGGAAGUGCCUCCCGAACUGGUGGACUUGAAUGACUCUGCCGUGGGAGGAAUGGGUAGUGUAGCGGUGAAAUGCUUAGAGAUUACACAGAACACCGAUUGCGAAGGCAUCUCACGAAGGGUUGAUUGACGCUGAGGCACGAAAGCGUGGGGAUCAAACAGGAUUAGAUACCCUGGUAGUCCACGCAGUAAACGAUGAUGGCUAACCGCUGGGCUUAUCAGUUCAGUGGCCAAGCGAAAGCGAUAAGCCAUCCACCUGGGGAGUACGACCGCAAGGUUGAAACUCAAAGGAAUUGACGGGG